rnacentral:rRNA from 1 species
AACGAACGCUGGCGGCAUGCCUAACACAUGCAAGUCGAACGAGACCUUCGGGUCUAGUGGCGCACGGGUGCGUAACGCGUGGGGACCUGCCUUUAGGUUCGGAAUAACUCAGAGAAAUUUGAGCUAAUACCGGAUGAUGUCUUUCGGACCAAAGAUUUAUCGCCUUUAGAUGGGCCCGCGUAAGAUUAGCUAGUUGGUGGGUAAAGGCCUACCAAGGCGACGAUCUUUAGCUGGUCUGAGAGGAUGAUCAGCCACACU